GGUGCUUGCAUCAUGAUUUACAUUUGAGUGAGUGGCGAACUGGUGAGUAACACGUGGGAAACCUGCCCAGAAGCGGGGGAUAACACCUGGAAACAGAUGCUAAUACCGCAUAACAACUUGGACCGCAUGGUCCGAGCUUGAAAGAUGGCUUCGGCUAUCACUUUUGGAUGGUCCCGCGGCGUAUUAGCUAGAUGGUGGGGUAACGGCUCACCAUGGCAAUGAUACGUAGCCGACCUGAGAGGGUAAUCGGCCACAUUGGGACUGAGACACGGCCCAAACUCCUACGGGAGGCAGCAGUAGGGAAUCUUCCACAAUGGACGAAAGUCUGAUGGAGCAACGCCGCGUGAGUGAAGAAGGGUUUCGGCUCGUAAAACUCUGUUGUUAAAGAAGAACAUAUCUGAGAGUAACUGUUCAGGUAUUGACGGUAUUUAACCAGAAAGCCACGGCUAACUACGUGCCAGCAGCCGCGGUAAUACGUAGGUGGCAAGCGUUGUCCGGAUUUAUUGGGCGUAAAGCGAGCGCAGGCGGUUUUUUAAGUCUGAUGUGAAAGCCUUCGGCUCAACCGAAGAAGUGCAUCGGAAACUGGGAAACUUGAGUGCAGAAGAGGACAGUGGAACUCCAUGUGUAGCGGUGAAAUGCGUAGAUAUAUGGAAGAACACCAGUGGCGAAGGCGGCUGUCUGGUCUGUAACUGACGCUGAGGCUCGAAAGUAUGGGUAGCAAACAGGAUUAGAUACCCUGGUAGUCCAUACCGUAAACGAUGAAUGCUAAGUGUUGGAAGGGUUUCCGCCCUUCAGUGCUGCAGCUAACGCAUUAAGCAUUCCGCCUGGGGAGUACGGCCGCAAGGCUGAAACUCAAAGGAAUUGACGGGGGCCCGCACAAGCGGUGGAGCAUGUGGUUUAAUUCGAAGCUACGCGAAGAACCUUACCAGGUCUUGACAUACUAUGCAAAUCUAAGAGAUUAGACGUUCCCUUCGGGGACAUGGAUACAGGUGGUUGCAUGGUUGUCCUCAGCUCUUGUCCUGAAAAUGUUGGGGUUAAUUCCCCCCACCAACCCCACCCCUUAUUAUCAUUUUCCAGCAUUAAAUUUGGCAACCCU
rnacentral:rRNA from 1 species